rnacentral:rRNA from 1 species
CGGAUCCGCGCCGCUGCAGAGUUUGAUCCUGGCUCAGGACGAACGCUGGCGGCGUGCUUAACACAUGCAAGUCGAACGGGAAGCUUUGACAAGUUUUACUUUGAUGAGUGGACAGUGGCGAACGGGUGAGUAACGCGUAGGUAACCAACCUUAUGCUGGGGGAUAGCCUUUGGAAACGAAGAGUAAUACCGCAUAAGACCACACUGCCGCAUGGCAGAGGGGUAAAAGAUUUAUUGGCAUGAGACGGACCUGCGUACCAUUAGAUAGUUGGUGGGGUAACGGCCUACCAAGUCGACGAUGGUUAGCCGACCUGAGAGGGUGAUCGGCCACAUUGGGACUGAGACACGGCCCAGACUCCUACGGGAGGCAGCAGUGGGGAAUAUUGUACAAUGGAGGAAACUCUGAUACAGCAACGCCGCGUGAGUGAUGAAGGUUUUAGGAUUGUAAAGCUCUGUCUUUGGGGACGAAGAAAGUGACGGUACCCAAGGAGGAAGCCCCGGCUAACUACGUGCCAGCAGCCGCGGUAAUACGUAGGGGGCAAGCGUUGUCCGGAAUUACUGGGCGUAAAGGGCACGCAGGCGGUCCGGUCAGUCAGGAGUGAAAGUUUGCAGCUUAACUGUAAAAGUGCUUUUGAUACUGCCGGACUUGAGUCUCGGAGAGGUAAGCGGAAUUCCUAGUGUAGUAGUGAAAUGCGUAGAGAUUAGGAAGAACACCGGCGGCGAAGGCGGCUUACUGGACGAGUACUGACGCUCAGGUGCGAAAGCGUGGGGAGCAAACAGGAUUAGAUACCCUGGUAGUCCACGCCGUAAACGAUGGAUACUAGGUGUUGGGGAAACUCAGUGCCGCAGUUAACACAAUAAGUACCCCGCCUGGGGAGUACGCACGCAAGUGUGAAACUCAAAGGAAUUGACGGGGGCCCGCACAAGCAGCGGAGCAUGUGGUUUAAUUCGAUGCAACGCGAAGAACCUUACCAGGUCUUGACAUCCUUUGACCGUCUAAGAGAUUAGAUUUUCCCUUCGGGGACAAAGUGACAGAUGGUGCAUGGUUGUCGUCAGCUCGUGUCGUGAGAUGUUGGGUUAAGUCCCGCAACGAGCGCAACCCCUGUGUUUAGUUGCCAUCAUUAAGUUGGGCACUCUAAACAGACUGCCCGUGAAAGCGGGAGGAAGGUGGGGACGACGUCAAAUCAUCAUGCCUCUUACGACCUGGGCUACACACGUGCUACAAUGGUCUGAACAAAGGGUAGCGAAGUGGUGACAUGGAGCCAAUCUCAUAAAUCAGAUCUCAGUUCGGAUUGCAGGCUGCAACCCGCCUGCAUGAAGUUGGAGUUGCUAGUAAUCGCAGAUCAGAAUGCUGCGGUGAAUGCGUUCCCGGGCCUUGUACACACCGCCCGUCACACCAUGAGAGUCGGUAACACCCGAAGUCAGUGAGCCAACCGCAAGGAGGCAGCUGCCGAAGGUGGGAUCGGUAAUUAGGGUGAAGUCGUAACAAGGUAA